UCAAGUCACUGCCUGACAACCAUCUGUAAACCAAGGUUUAAGCUUGCAACAUUAAACUCUAAACAGAACACAGACAAUAAGGAGGGAGCAGAGAGAAAACCAACAUUCACACAACUAACACGCAAGGUUGAACAACAAAACAAAUAAAUAUAACCACAUUUCUCUAUUUAUGGUUCACAGAUUCAUGAUGGGAAAAAAAAAAAUUCCCAAACAAGUCAGAUGAGACCAUUUUUAGCCUAUCACAAGAAGGCUGAAUUUGUAAGAUACCUGUAGAAGCCAUUUCUGUCAUUGGCAUGCACAGAUUAUCCAAUCUCACGUUGAAACUCCAAGAAUCAGGUUUUUUAAAGAAACAAUCAUUACCCAUUUAAGUACAAAAAAUAAGAAGCACAAGAUUUUCUGGAGAUCCUUCCAGCUUAAAACUAAUGGAAGUUGCUAAAUCAUAAGUUUAAACUAUAGAUAUAGCCUCAAAUUUUACCAUUAGCAAUUUCAGCUUUGUUAAUAAG
rnacentral:misc_RNA from 1 species